CUCAUGGAGAUGUCCAGCUGGAAAUACUGAAAGGCUUUUGAUACCCAGUGGAAAACUCCAGAAGGGGUUCCAGGGUUAAGGGUCACAUAUGUAGCCUUGAAGGCUAUGUGUGACAGAGUUGUUUUUCUAUCAGCACUUGACAGGUGUGUCGUGGACAGCACGUCUGACUCCUCAGGGGAGCUGACAAAAUGUCAGGGCUAUACGCCCAGAUUAGUUGAGCCGUCAGUCACUUCAGGCCCUUGUUCAAACAGUUACGAGUCUCUCGGCCCUUCCUUUCCAUUCAGGCUUUCUUUCAAGUUAAACAAAGUCACUGACCAUCACAAAGGAAAUAUUCAUAUCAUUGUAUGGAGGAAAAAAAGGUACAAAAUGGAACUGUUUACUUUGCUGUGUUUGGAUUAUAAACAAAUAUUCACACCUGUGCUGGGCCUCCAGCUGAUGAAGAACUGAGCCAACUAUUUGAAACAGACACAUUUUCAUACUUUUCAUAACUUCCAGUCACUUUAGCGCAGAUUGCCAAGACUGAAAAUUAAAUGACGAAGAAGAAAAAGAGCAAACAUUCUGUGGAUAAUUAACCACAAGAGGAAAAUUGCUAAAUUGGUUGAACUUAUAACCAAUCUGUGAUAUAAUCAUUUCUGUAUUCACCAACUUGCUGGAGGUAGAAUACCUUUAAAAGGAGUCUUUACACAAUUGAUAGAUUGCUCCAACAUGUAAAGUAAAAGAGCAAUGAAUGCAUUUCCCCGCAAUAUUCAUGCCAAGUGCUAAAGCUGGAAUAAGGAGCAAAGUGAGGAAAACUCACAUGAUCAACUGAGUAAAAAACUGUGGCCAGAUCACCCUCACCAAAGGUAGUCUCUUGGUAUCUUGUUUUUAACUCUGGUCAGCUGAGUAGCAUAGUAACUCCAUGGCAUCCAAAUAUUGAUUGGGUAUCCAACAUUCCGAAGUCUGCUGACUGCAUAGAGACAGCUUCUGUCAACAAACAAAUAAGCCCUUUUGCUGCUUCAGUCUGUGCAGUUAAGUGAAUCUUUUUGAAAGAUCUUCAAAGUUCUAAAGUAAAGACAUGAAGCUCUCUGUGAGACUGCAGCAGAAGAAACCAAUGGACACACACUGUGAUCCAGGCUGUUCUUUUAUGUGAGGGGUUUUAUAGUGCCGGGUAUGAUGUGAGAUUCAGCCUUGUAAGCCUUACUCAUUUCCAAAGUUGGAAUUUGCAAGAACAAAGUGGGCUUUGUACACUUGCUGGUGCCAUUUGUGGCAGAAAAGGACUUUCUCGGAUUGCUUUGGGAUGAUGAAGAGCAUGUCUCUCAUCCAAGAACUGAAACGAUACCUUCAGGAAGAAUCAAAGGCAAGAUUUUCCAGCAGAAUAGUGACAAGAUCUGGAAGUGGAAGUAGAGUCAGCAUCUCUGGAACCCCAGAUCCCCAAAUGGAAAUCAGGGACUGCUGAGGAGGGGGGAGGGGAGCAGAUGCUGGGAAGACAGCCAACAAUGUGUAUAGCACACUCAGUUUCCCACAGUGAAUGAUAGAAAAUAAAACAAAGCAUGCUUUUGAAACCAGGAAUACUCACACAUGUGUAGCACACACAUUCGCAGAGAGGGAGAGAGAGAGAAAGAGAGAAGAAUGUUGCAUCCCAAAUACCUUUGUGGCCACGACAAAGUGAACAAAG
ensembl:lncRNA